rnacentral:rRNA from 1 species
AGUUGAUUAUGGCUCAGGAUGAACGCUAGCUACACGGCUUAACACAUGCAAGUCGGAGGGGCAGCGAGAAGAAAGCUGCUUCUUGUCGGCGACCGGCGCGACGGGUGAGUAACGCGUAUCCAACCUUCCCCUUAGUAGGGCAUAGCCCGGCGAAAGUCGGAUUAAUACCCUAUGUUAUUCGUAGAGGACAUCUGAAAUGAAUCAAAGAUUUAUCGCUAGGGGAUGGGGGAUGCGUCUGAUUAGGUUGUUGGCGGGGUAACGGCCCACCAAGCCAUCGAUCAGUAGGGGUUCUGAGAGGAAGGUCCCCCACAUUGGAACUGAGACACGGUCCAAACUCCUACGGGAGGCAGCAGUGAGGAAUAUUGGUCAAUGGACGAGAGUCUGAACCAGCCAAGUAGCGUGCAGGAUGACGGCCCUAUGGGUUGUAAACUGCUUUUAUAUAGGGAUAAAGUUCACCACGUGUGGUGUUUUGUAGGUACUAUAUGAAUAAGGACCGGCUAAUUCCGUGCCAGCCGCCGC